rnacentral:lncRNA from 1 species
AGAUGGUUGACCUGUACGUGCAGGUUUAUUAUUGCAGAAUUGCUCUAGUGUAUCAAUUUCUGCCAGCUUGUUUUGUUUGUUUGACACGGGGUUGAUGACGGUCUGAUGAUGGCUGAGUCACUGCUACUGAUUUCCCACAUCUUACUCUUCCUUUCCCACCUCCUGAAAGGCAUCAGAAGCAACUUUGGGAGAAGAAAGAAACACCAAAGGCUUUGCAAGCCCAGGGCAAGGAAGGAAGGGCCUGCAUGCCCCGACUCCCUCCAAGCUCAUGUGUGCACACACACGUGCCACAGGAGAGGGGUAGUUCAGGCUGCCCAGCUGCUGACCCACUUUGGGAGGAGAAACAUAGAUAAAGGAGAGAUACCAUCUUGCAAGCCUGCAGUUCAUGGGCAGGAGGACCUGGUGCAGCACAGCAGAAUGCCCAUUUUUGCCCAGGGCACUGAUGGAGAGUGCUUUCAGGUAGUUACUGGUGUGUUGGCAUGGCAAAGGCGGGUGGGAGGCAGCAGGGGGUGGUGGUGAAGGGACUUGAAAUAGCUGCUGACUCUUUCUCUUUGCACCUCCUCCCUUUCCAGUUUAUCUGGUCCCCUGGGGAAUCUAUGCGCCUCCCGCACCAAAGGGCUGUUGUAUUUCAAGACACAAAGUGCCUUCCAGCUGAGUGUUAGACCUGACUCCAUUCAGCCAGCUAGCCUGCCCUUUAAAAACCUGGAAGGGCUUAAUAAGCAGUAACAAACUCUGUCCCAGCAAUAGACUUAGGAAGACUGAUUAUCUCUAUUUUACAAGUGGGGGAACAAUGCAAAUCCAUUUCAAGUCUCUGUGCCAGAGCUGAGUGAAGAGUAGAGCCCAAGAUUUCUCAUAGGUUACCCUGAGGUUAAGCCAUGUCUUUGUCCUUUUCCUCUCUUCCUGCUCAGCUGGUUAUUUGCCCAAAAGAGGGAGAAUAAGGACAUUAACGGUUGCCAUUUGAAGUAGCAGAGGCUACUUCAGCAGUCCUCUGCCAACAGGGGAUUUUGCAGACAGUGAAGGUGCCUCAGGCUGACUUCAGCAAAUGUGAGGCCCUGUGCUCCCUCCUCCUACCCCCAUGUUAGAUCACUUCUCAUGGUCUGCCUUUCCCUCUCCUCCAGGCAAGGUCACGAGACAGGCCCUGACAGUGCUGGGGCAGAACCGGCAGCAAAUUCUUCCUGAGCGCUGGGCCUUUUUCUGAUUAACUGGACAUGCCUGAGCGGGGUCAGGAAUCAGAGAUAAGCCCUGGCACUCGGAGCAGGUCUCCUGCCAGCCCUGCAGUGCGGAGGAGGAGGCAGAUGAAUCCAGAGACAUGAUUUUCACAACAUCAGCACAAGCUUUGG